UCAGGCAGUGGCGCUCCACUGUACGGGUACAGCCCUAUAGUGCAGCAGCUUGAGAACACUCAUUCGCUCCACUUUUCCUCUUGCUUAGGCCCUAUAUGUGGAGCCAUCUGGACGUGGAGAGAGGGAGUCAGCUGCUCCACACACUGAGGCGCGGAGCCUGAAUCCGUCUCAGCUCAUUCUGUGGGAUCAUCUGCGUGGUGGGCUUACACCGUGGAAAAUGCGCUCUCCAUCAUUAGAGCGCCUGUGCAUGCAUGACCAAAGAGGCAGCAGCCUUUCCCUCAGUACUCCAGAGACCUUUAAUUUGCCUGUUGACCCCAGGAUGGAGGUGUUGCCAACUCACAGUGAUACUACCUCACCCACAAGAGACUAAUAAUUCUCAAGUUACUUACAUCAAAAUAUAUAUUUUCAACAUGUUGCAUCAGUGCCUCUAAUUCGUUUUUCUCCUUUAGGGGCUGCCAUUAUAAAGGAGAUACAUAUUUGAUGGCAACUGGCAAGUCUACAAAUGCAUUUUGAUUUUAGUCAGAUUAUUAAUAUCGGACUGUGUUACUAUUAACAGAAAUGUUAAUUAUGAUGUCAAGACAGAGGGAGUCAAGGUGAAAGCUGCACAGCAAUAGCUAAAAAUAAUCCAUGCCAGCCAGAGUACAGUAUGAUCCUGCAGAGGAGUGUUACUGGCAAGGGACCUUUUUGCUGCAACAAAGAGGUGGAAAAGAGGAAGUAAAUGAAUUAGAGUACAAGCCAGAUUUUGUCUUUGUUUCAUCCACACUUGUCCUGUCCCUAUUUUCCAACCUCUCCCUUUUCCUUGCUAUUGGAAGUGCUGCAAAUUGUAUAAUGCUGGUCUUUGUUCUACAGAGUCAAGCCACAUGAAUAGCCGUCCUGAGCACACACAAAAACACACUGACAAACUGAUCAUCUUAAAAAAGCAACGCCCUGGUGCUCACUUGGCCUACUUUCCACGGCAGCACUGGGACGUGGGAAGAGGAAUAGAAUUCAGGGGAGGAUGUUCUUGCACUCUGGGAAACAUUCAGUAUAGCAAGUGUGAUGCACAUAAACAUAGCCUUUGCAUUGUCAACCUUAGACCGUAUUUGCCCCAGAUAACUAGUCCCCGUGUGCUAGACUAUUCUCUUUGACUUUGCAAUUGAAAUCCUGAGAAGAUUAUGCCAAAGCUAAAAGAGGCAAACUCUGGGGUGGGAUUUCAAUUGUCAAUUCCUGUUGGAUUUUAUAGCAUUAUGACAUAUAGUACACCAUCUGUUACGCUUCCCGUGACUAGGUCUACAUCUGCACAAGUGGAGCUUAUUGAUGUGAACAUCAGUACAACUAAGACCUGGUUUUUGAAUGGACAGCAAUUUUCAAUCACCGAUAUUUUUCUCCUGAAUCCCGUUUAACACAGAUGUAUGACUAAGUAGCGGGGUCUCUAGCUUACAAAACACCAGAGCAAAUUAAAAAGGUGCAGGAAAGUAACCACUCCUAACUUUAGCUAAACAGACUUCCUGGAGCGCUAGAUAAUCUGGGGCUUCUAUGUACACCGCCUAACCAAAUGUCGACAUCUGUGAGGGUGUGCAUAAAGAAAAGCUCCUCAGAGAAACGGGGGAUAAUAAUCUUAGUUCCCCUCACCUUCAGCUUGCCCAUAGGGGUUUAAAAGGGAGAUGAAGAAAUCCUAUGUAAACAUGCCAAGUCAAAUUUUCACUUGAAAUGUGACAUAAAGGCAAAGGGCAACCUUGGUGCAUCGCUAAUGUGCUUCCACGCAUGAGUUUUCCAGUGCCCCUGGAUGUAAACAAUUGAUGUAUUCAGUCUGUGGUUUGAACACUGACUCACUGUGCACACUUAAUAUGUUUGAGCAUCUUCUUAGCCAUCACUGUACAUUUAGUGCAUAGGUGAAGAGCCCAAAAGAAGUCAACACAAAGCCUGUACACAAUCAGAAUCUCUGUACUCAAUAGCUGCAUGAAAGUGAGUUUUGCUCUCCUGAGAAACAUACAAAGUUUGAGCAUCUGUUCCAUCAUGUAGUCUUUGUUGAGAAAUUAAAUAUUGAACUGAUCUAGUGUACCAUGAAUGUUUCACUCACAUAGUGAUUAGACAGACUGGAGAGGCAAGACAUCGCAGCACUUUACUCUCUACUUUCAUAUACUGUAUUUGUUGGUCUUGCCUUUAAGUGUUUCACGCGCCAGAUUGUGUUGUUGUUAUGGAAAAUGUUUUUUAAUGUUGCGUCAAUUAUACUUAGCAUGCAUGUGUAACUCGACACAAAAGUAAAUUCAUAUGCAUGUAUGUGCACAAACGCAAUCAUCCUCAGUCUGAUAAUUGCUGUAUAGUGUAGUCCAGCUGAAGCAAUAUAAUUGGAAAAAAGAGAAAAACAUAAAUUAGAGUUUUGGUUUUAUGAUUCAAUUAUGAACUUGGCAGCAUCUGUUUUUUCAUACUUUUAUGUUAUUGUGAAUAUGGAGAAAAUACUGAUUGGUUUUCUUGUCGCAUCUCAGAAUAAAGGGCGUCUCUUUUAUAGUUUCUCAUCCCUUACUCCAAAUCAACAAUUGUCUCUCGGGAGAGUCCCAAAUGAUGUUUCCUGACAUAAACAUUUUGGAUUAUAAUGAGCAGACCAAGCCAACGUGCAAGCAGGAGAAGGAAACAGUAUCAUCACAGAGAUCAUAAAAUGGUGUCGUGAGUAGUCUUUUGUCCAGGACCAUAGGAGAGUUCUGUUGCUAAAGGGAAGGACAAAAGCAGAAGGCGCCACGGGUAUAAGGUUCCCCUGAGCAACAAUACUGAAAGUUUCAACUUGCAGCACAUGGGUGUAACUUUAACUGGAAUACUGUGGAUCAAAGACUCACAAACAAAGUGGGUGGAAAUGCUGAAGGAGUGUCUGUGCUCAAGUGAAGGACAGGUUCACUAGAGAGAAAGCGGGAGCGACAAUUUCUGAAACACAGACCAGGCAAUCAAGGCUAAUUACCGAGCCCGUGUUUUGUGAACUCAAAGGGCAGCAUGAUUCAAUUAACAAAACCGAUGUGUAUUAUAAUUCUGAAAAGCAAAAUUACCUCUGUCGACAACACGCUUAUCAGAUAUAAAACAAAAGCAAAUUCAAAUUAAACUGAACAGUUUCAAAUGUGUUGCUGCUUCGUGCGCUUUAAUAAGGAAGAGUGCACACAGUCGAUUUUGUAUUGCAUCUCAAACAUUCAUUCCGCACUCUUGUCUUCACCUGUCAUCUUUUAGAGAGUGGGAGAAUUAUUCAGUUCUGCUUCUUUAAAUAAAAAACACAGCCUUGAAAUUUGUGAGGCUUAAGGCAAUUCAUCAGGUUAGAUCAGUACAAUGUGGAUGUGUAACCUUUACACUGCACUGGAACCUGCACAUACAAGUGUUAUGAAAGGUCCCCGUGGCACUCUGCUCUUCUGACAUGGAUUUGAAGACUUGCCACUUUAUUAGCUGCUAAGCCCCCACUACUUGUUCUAUAUAGUGGAGGCCUAUGUUAUGAGCUGGGAUCUCAUUGUCUAGCGUUAUUAGAGGUAGAGUCUGCAGCGCUCUCUUGUCUCCCCUCGAGAGUAGCCUGACUAUUUGAAAGGAAGCUACAAGUGCAAUUUAACCCAUCUUAUUUACAAUACGAUCUCUUACAAGGACAUCAUCGCAGCAAGGAUUCACAUAUAAUACAUCUCUACAAUGUGCUUCUUUCCUGUUUUGAUUGUUUCAGGGGAGUUGUUUGACGCUCAAUUGAGCCCUAAGAAGAAAAAAAAUCUCUGAAUGUGUCAAGUUAGAGCAGACACAAACUUUAGUCAACAACACUAGUCCGGUUUUGUAUUUUUCAAAAAUACUUCACAUAAGAUUUAUGCACAACAACAAGUGUUUUCUGCUUAAAGGUCAAAAGAGUUAAUAAAUAAAAAAGAGUGGGUAUGGGGUUCUUAAUGAUAGCAUUAACAUCGUGUCUGGGAAAACAAGCUGUUUGUGAUCAUCACUUUUGUCACCAACGCACACGCACACACACACCCUCCAAAAUGGAAAUGAUCUGUUGGCACUGAAUAAUAAGUGCCAUAGUGCCAUCUAGUGCACAAAUUUGCACACUGAAGAAUGACAGUCCCUGUAUGUAAAACAUACACUACAUACUGCAGCGUACAUGCAAAGGUACAGGGCUUGAGGGCUACUUGUGAUUAUGAUAAAGGAUGGUGUACUGUUUUCACUGAUCGCUUGUGUGCUUCAGUGUGAGUUUCAGCUACACUAAAUGACCACACUGAAAAUUUCCACUCAUAGGGGAAAUAAACAAGGAGACAAAGGUUUGUCUUAGAAGCCAGGUCUUUGACAACCCGCGGCUGUGGCAAGCCGCAAGGAUAAUCUCCUUCAGACAAUGAGACGAUGUUGAAGGCUGUGCAUGCAAAUUAUACUCUGCCAUCUAAAUUACAAAGACAUACACAGACCUCAAGUCAUCAGGCCUCAUAUCUCACUCAUCUGGCCUCCUGGCUGUUAGGUUGCCAGAGGAUACUAUAGAGACAACAGAACAGAAAUAAUAAGAAAAAACACAUGAGCCAAAACAAGAGUCUUGAAUAAUUGAUUGUGUUUGUCUUUUGCUGUUUGUGUGUGAGAGUGUGUGUUUGAGUGAGAGCGAGAGUGUGUGUGUGUGUGUGUUAGGACUCAGGGUCUGGACAGAGCUUAUGCCCCUGAGCAGAGCAGACACAUCCACUGGCCAAUGGUUUGUGUUAAAAACUGUCUGAUUGACCAAAUGUGGGGGAAGGGUAUGUUUGUGCGUGCCGGGCAAAAAUGAAUGUGCAUGGGUAUUUAUGUUCAUGACUGUGUGUGUAAAUUCAAAGAGAAAUAGGUGAGGAUAGUAGCUGCGAUGUGUGUGAUUUUUGGCAAACUAAACCUGGGCAUGAUUAGCUCAUGUUGAAAUCAGCGCUGGUUUUGUAUUCAGUAACAUGGGAAUAAGAUGAAGUAAAGAUUUCCAGGAUAACAAACGCUUUUUGUUAAACGGGCCAGGAAUAGGUGUGUUGUAAGAUGUUAAAAAGUCAAUAUACCUUCAUUUU